AAAAAGAAAAUAAUAAUAAUAAUAAGAAGAAGAAGAUGACGAGUGUACGAUAAUUUCCCUCAAAAUACGAUAAUUUUAUGUUUCUAGUACGAUAAUCCUACAUUUCUCACCUGGUAACACUGAGCCCAACACACAACGGUCAAAAUGCAAACGCAAGGGAACAUGCAGGUGGCAGCUCCAUACACAAACAUCGACCUUAACGUUUUUCUGUGCAAAGAGUAUUGGAGUUACUUGGGAUGACAACUCAGGUUUGGACUUGUCUGACCUUGAUAAUCCAAUCCUAGGUGAGAACUACCAACCAUCACCACAGGAACAAAGCAGCAGUGAAGAUGAGGACCUCAUUCCUGAACCCACUGACCACAGCAGAGGAUGAAAACAUCACCGUUGUGUAGAUAAUGGUUCAUGCUCAGGGAAAGAGACAGGUACAGGCUUCUCCUGCAUUCCUAGGCGUCGCUGCCAAACUCAAGAGGUUGAGGCUGAUAGCUCAGAAGAUGACUUGGAAGAGUCAACACCAGGACCAAGUCAAACCAAAAAAAGAGAAGAGUCUAAACAAGGGCGUGGAAUGCGCUGGAAGGCUACUCCAUUGAUGCCAAACCUUACGAAGUAUCAGCAUCAGGAUGAAACUGUUCGAGACAGACAUGGCUGGACCCCAUUAGAUUAUUUUGAGCUGUACAUAGAGAUUUGAUGGCACUGAUGUCAGAAUGCUUUAAUGUUAUGUCACUGUCUAAGAGUGGGGACCCACUCAACAUGACCAUAGAUGAGGUACACCACUUUUUUGGUGCCUGCAUUUUGAUGUCCUGCAUCCGCUACCCAACAUAAACGGCAUACUGUAUAUGUUCCUGUUUUACAUUACCAAUGCAAAAUAUCACAAAAGCCCUACUAUGAAGAUUUUGUUGAGUUUUUUUCACUAUGAUGUUCAAACACAUUUGUCUCCUGAUGCAACAGUGGCAAUUUAAAAUGGUUUGAAUGUUUUGUAUUUUGUUACAGGCAUACAAUGCCGUCCUGAAACUGUUUGCUGGUUGCUUGUUUCAAAAAUAUGUAUGUAUGUGUUGUUAAUACAUGUAAAACAGUCAGGAAAAAAGUGCUGUGUUCAAGGUUGAAAUAAAGAGUUUUUCAUUCUAUUACA